AGUGAACGCUGGCGGUAGGCCUAACACAUGCAAGUCGAACGGCAGCACAGUAAGAGCUUGCUCUUACGGGUGGCGAGUGGCGGACGGGUGAGGAAUACAUCGGAAUCUACUUUUUCGUGGGGGAUAACGUAGGGAAACUUACGCUAAUACCGCAUACGACCUACGGGUGAAAGCAGGGGAUCUUCGGACCUUGCGCGAUUGAAUGAGCCGAUGUCGGAUUAGCUAGUUGGCGGGGUAAAGGCCCACCAAGGCGACGAUCCGUAGCUGGUCUGAGAGGAUGAUCAGCCACACUGGAACUGAGACACGGUCCAGACUCCUACGGGAGGCAGCAGUGGGGAAUAUUGGACAAUGGGCGCAAGCCUGAUCCAGCCAUACCGCGUGGGUGAAGAAGGCCUUCGGGUUGUAAAGCCCUUUUGUUGGGAAAGAAAAGCAGCAGGUUAAUACCCCGCUGCUCGGACGGUACCCAAAGAAUAAGCACCGGCUAACUUCGU
rnacentral:rRNA from 1 species